AUGCAUGAUCACGUCUUCAGCAUGCAUGGCCCCAUCAUCCUGUCUGACAUGCUGCCUCUACUUGUUCUCAAGAAGAUCUUGGGUGUCCUGCAUCCUGACUAUCCGGAGGAUGAAAUGGAUUUAUAUAUAAACCUCAUGGUGCUGGAAUAUCUAGAACGGGCGCCUGAAGGACGUAACUUCGCAAAGAUAUCGCUGGGUCGCCACCCUCUUGAACUUUAUCAUGGAAGCCUCACCUACAAUAACGGCGCCCAUAGAGUUCACCCACCAGCGUACAAGUAUGAAAUGAUACCCUCAGCGUUAGAAAUCCACGAGGCUGGCAUCAAAUUCAAGAAGCGGGAGAGGGGCAACCUGCAGGACAUUCGCUUCGAGCACGGCGUGCUGAGUAUGCCAGUGAUUGAAGUGGUUGACAACACCGAGAGCUUGUACCUCAACCUGAUGGCGUUCGAGCGGCUGCAUUUCGGUGUCGGCGAUCUCGUAACGGCCUAUGUAAUCUUCAUAGACAACAUCAUCGUCUCGGCCAAGGACGUGGCGAUGCUGAGCUCCAAUGAGGUCCUCAAGAAUAUGCUAGGCUGCGACAAGGAGGCGGCAAAGCUGUUCAACGGUACUCUAUCAAGAGGGCAACUUCUGGGCCCAUGCCCUGGUCUCCAUAAUGUGCAGUACGAGGUGAAUGCCUACUGCAAGGAGUCCUGGCACAAGUGGCGGGCCACCCUAAUACGUACCUACUUCCGAAAUCCCUGGGCAUUCAUCUCCCUCGUAGCCGCUACCAUUCUACUGAUUGCCACCCUGUUGCAGACCACCUACACCGUCAUGCCCAACAAG
rnacentral:rRNA from 1 species